CUCCACUACAUCCUCCAGCAUCUGGACUCCAGAGGAACCUACGCUAGGAUCCUGUUUGUGGACUUCAGCUCUGCCUUCAACACCAUCCCUGUCCCCUCUUACAGGAUGUGGGUCUCGGAUGGAAUAAUUGUGGGGAUAAAGUGGCACUGGAGCUGGUCCGAGUUAUGCCUCUCUGUCAGAAGCUGAGGAGAAUAGAUCUGGAGUCAAACGCCAUCAGUGUCUCUGGAGCGGAGGCCUUGGUUAAAGCUCUACAGCCGUGUCCUGCUCUGCAGAUGAUCAGGUUGUGGAGGAACAACGUCUCCGCUAUUGAGGCCCAGACGCUCAGUCUGAAGGAAAGGAGACUGAACUUCUCCUCCACCUAACAUGCUUUGAAUGUUUCCCCUGAACUGCGACCACAUGGAAGUAUGAGGAAUGAUUUUAUAGCAAAUGAUUACGUCAUGAUCAUGUCACACGAUGUGUUUGAAUACCUUCAAUCGGUUGUGUAUGUGAGGACUGCAGCAGCAGGCGUGUGUAAUAGAAGGCUUAAAGACCACUGUGUGGUGAACCGCGAACGCUUUUGACAUUUUGCCUAAAUGUAAAUAAUGUUAAGAUGAAACAACACAAUUAUUUUUGGCCCGACCAUUCCAGUCUGUUUGCUGUGGGCUUUGUACACACUGCCCUCCUCUUUGUACACUAUGAACCUAAAGGGCCACGAUUCCAGUAACUUCCAUUUGAGAAAGCAGGUAUGCAGACUUUUCAUUAUUUUGCACCGUAAUGUGUUAACAAUAAUUAGAGGCCACAUAAGUGAAAACACAACAAAUCAUAAAAUUACAGUAAAUGUUCUCUAACCAUCAUUUUAGGUUGUGGUCUCUAUCCAAACUGCGUAUUUAUUUCUUCCGAUAUUUUGAUGAAUUAAUAAUUAGACGUUAUUUAAACUGACAGAACUGUUUUUACAAGGACACAGGAUUUGAAUGAGCAGGGGCCGAGAUGUGUUUGGGACUGUAGAUAAUCUUCUUUAGGGGGGUUUGGCUUUAAGGUUUCGGAGCAGCCUCGACCUCUAACAUGGCAAAUCUUGCUUGACAUUAAAUUAUUCAAAAAAUAAAGACUAAAUUGA